rnacentral:rRNA from 1 species
GACGAACGCUGGCGGCGUGCCUAAUACAUGCAAGUAGAACGCUGAAGGAGGAGCUUGCUCUUCUGGAUGAGUUGCGAACGGGUGAGUAACGCGUAGGUAACCUGCCUGGUAGCGGGGGAUAACUAUUGGAAACGAUAGCUAAUACCGCAUAACAGUAGAUGUUGCAUGACAUUUGCUUAAAAGGUGCAAUUGCACCACUACCAGAUGGACCUUCGUUGUAUUAGCUAGUUGGUGGGGUAACGGCUCACCAAGGCGACGAUACAUAGCCGACCUGAGAGGGUGAUCGGCCACACUGGGACUGAGACACGGCCCAGACGCCUACGGGAGGCAGCAGUAGGGAAUCUUCGGCAAUAGACGGAAGUCUGACCGAGCAACGCCGCGUGAGUGAAGAAGGUUUUCGGAUCGUAAAGCUCUGUUGUAAGAGAAGAACGAGUGUGAGAGUGGAAAGUUCACACUGUGACGGUAGCUUACCAGAAAGGGACGGCUAACUACGUG